rnacentral:lncRNA from 1 species
AUUGUUUGAAGGAAAACUAAAGACUUUCUAAUUAGGGUUCUGGGUUGGUUUUUAUAGAGGGAAAAGUGACACAGUUUAAUGGCCUAGUGAUCCUUGCAUUUUGUCUUAAUGGCCUAAUUGCGCAUUGGGUCCUUCAUUCUUUUAUUGCUUUAAAAUCAAGUUUUUUUUUUGUUUUUAAAUUCCUCUAGGAUUUAUUUCGUUUUCAAUCGGGUCUAUAAUUGAACGGCGUCGUUUUGGAGGGCAGGGAUUAAUUUCCCUUUUGAUCCCUCCUUAUUAUUCAUGUGUUCGAUCAAGUUUGUCCUUUUUUUUACUUAUUUUCGAAUCUACCCCAUUUUUUUUGUUUUUAAGUUCAAUUUAGUCCAUCUUUAGCCAUUUUUUUAUUAUUUCUUUUUUUAUUGUUUAUCAUUAUAGCAUUAUUUAUUAUUAUAUUAUUUACUAUCACUGUUAUCAUCAUUACUUCUAUCUUCAUACACGCAUUAUCUUUUUUAUAUAUAAUACAUAUACGCAUGUUUUUUACUCGCAUAGUUUUUUU